GAUGAACGCUGGCGGCGUGCCUAAUACAUGCAAGUCGAGCGAACGGACGAGAAGCUUGCUUCUCUGAUGUUAGCGGCGGACGGGUGAGUAACACGUGGAUAACCUACCUAUAAGACUGGGAUAACUUCGGGAAACCGGAGCUAAUACCGGAUAAUAUUUUGAACCGCAUGGUUCAAAAGUGAAAGACGGUCUUGCUGUCACUUAUAGAUGGAUCCGCGCUGCAUUAGCUAGUUGGUAAGGUAACGGCUUACCAAGGCAACGAUGCAUAGCCGACCUGAGAGGGUGAUCGGACACACUGGAACUGAGACACGGUCCAGACUUCUAGGGGGGGCAGCAGUAGGGAAUCUUCCGCAAUGGGCGAAAGCCUGACGGAGCAACGCCGCGUGAGUGAUGAAGGUCUUCGGAUCGUAAAACUCUGUUAUUAGGGAAGAACAUAUGUGUGUAACUGUGCACAUCUUGACGGUACCUAAUCAGAAAGCCACGGCUAACUACGUG
rnacentral:rRNA from 1 species